UUGGAGGGCAAGUCUGGUGCCAGCAGCCGCGGUAAUUCCAGCUCCAAUAGCGUAUAUUAAAGUUGUUGCAGUUAAAAAGCUCGUAGUUGAAUUUCGGGGUUCUACCGUUGGUCGGGCUUUGUCUGUACUGGUGUGUAGAAUUUCUACCUUCUGGGGAACCAUCAUGCUAUUAAUUUAGCGUGGUGGGAAACCAGGACCUUUACCUUGAAAAAAUUAGUGUGUUCAAAGCAGGCUUAUGUCUGAAUACAUUAGCGUGGAAUAAUAGAAUAGGACGGUGGUCCUGUUUUGUUGGUUUCUGAAUCACCGUAAUGAUUAAUAGGGAUAGUUGGGGGCAUUAGUAUUCAAUUGUCAGAGGUGAAAUUCUUGGAUUUAUUGAAGACUAACUUCUGCGAAAGCAUUUGCCAAGGAUGUUUUCAUUAAUCAAGAACGAAAGUUAGGGGAUCGAAGACGAUCAGAUACCGUCGUAGUUUUAACCAUAAACUAUGCCGACUAGGGAUCGGACGAUGUUAAUUUUUCUUGACUCGUUCGGCGCCUUACGGGAAAC
rnacentral:rRNA from 1 species